rnacentral:rRNA from 1 species
GACGAACGCUAGCUACAGGCUUAACACAUGCAAGUCGAGGGGUAACGAGAGGAAAGCUUGCUUUCCUUGUCGACGACCGGCACACGGGUGAGUAACGCGUAUCCAACCUGCCCCCAACUAGGGAAUAACCUUGCGAAAGUAAGACUAAUACCCUCUACUUUCCCUAGAUGACAUCUGACGAGGAAUAAAGAUUUAUCGGUUGUGGAUGGGCAUGCGUUUGAUUAGCUGGUGGGCGGGGUAACGGCCCACCAAGGCAACGAUCAGUAGGGGUUCUGAGAGGAAGGUCCCACACAUUGGAACUGAGACACGGUCCAAACUCCUACGGGAGGCAGCAGUGAGGAAUAUUGGUCAAUGGGCGGAAGCCUGAACCAGCCAAGUAGCGUGCAGGAUGACGGCCCUAUGGUUGUAAACUGCUUUUAUACAGGAAUAAAGUUAGCCACGUGUGGUUAUUUGUAGGUACUGUAUGAAUAAGGACCGGCUAAUUCCGUGCCAGCAGCCGCCGUAA